rnacentral:lncRNA from 1 species
CAAUUGAGCACUAAGUGAGGAUUUAAGAAAAAUAGAGUUUGUUAUUUGAUGCAGAAGGAUCCGAGUCGAGUGACGCUGAUCUAUCAGAUAGUUCGUUGAUGGCACUGAGAUACCAUGAGAUGACGGACAGGCGCAAAGAUGGAAAAUAAAUGCAAUAUUUCCUUAAUUGGGGUAAUUUUGACAUGUUCUUGGUAAUUUGAUCAUAACUUUGGCUACGAUUAUCAGAAUCGCUAUUUUGACCCCAAUCCGGA